CGGGGGGAGCAAGCGUUGUUCGGAUUUACUGGGCGUAAAGGGCGCGUAGGCGGUCACUACAAGUCAGCUGUGAAAUCUCCGGGCUUAACUCGGAACGGUCAGCUGAUACUGUCGGACUAGAGUGCAGAAGGGGCAACUGGAAUUCUCGGUGUAGCGGUGAAAUGCGUAGAUAUCGAGAGGAACACCUGCGGCGAAGGCGGGUUGCUGGGCUGACACUGACGCUGAGGCGCGAAAGCUAGGGGAGCGAACGGGAUUAGAUACCCCCGGUAGUCCUAGCCUUAAACGAUGAAUGCCUGGUGUCUCGGGUUUUAAAGUCCCGAGGUGCCGUCGCUAACGCAUUAAGCAUUCCGCCUGGGGAGUACGGUCGCAAGACUG
rnacentral:rRNA from 1 species